rnacentral:lncRNA from 1 species
CGAUGGUGGCUCGAACCUGGUGUGAGGAGCACACACCCGUUCUGGCCUCCGUCUCGCGGUGCUACUGACGAAACUGUUGCUGUCAACGUUGCUCGAACCUGGUGAAACUGUUGCUCGAACCUGGUGUGGGCUGCAGCUAUUUGCUGGCAUGCACCUUGAACUGACGCCUAUUGAAAACGCCCUGUUUGCUGUGGCCCUCCUGAUUGAUUCGUGUGCAUAUGUAAUUUCACGCAACCCUUUUCCUUUUGUGCGGAAUGACUUUUUUUUUAUAAUAAUAUGGGAGGUUUAUCCUUGAAACGGAACUAUUCAUCAGAUUGUUCCAUCAUUGGCUAACAGACUCUCAAAACGGAC